rnacentral:rRNA from 1 species
GACGUAGGGGACGAGCGUUGUCCGGAUUCAUUGGGCGUAAAGGGCGCGUAGGCGGCGCGGUAAGUAACUUGUGAAAUCUCUGAGCUUAACUCAGAACGGCCAAGUGAUACUGCUGUGCUAGAGUGCAGAAGGGGCAAUCGGAAUUCUUGGUGUAGCGGUGAAAUGCGUAGAUAUCAAGAGGAACACCUGAGGUGAAGACGGGUUGCUGGGCUGACACUGACGCUGAGGCGCGAAAGCCAGGGGAGCAAACGGG